CAGACAUUUCAUAGGUGUACAAAACUAAAAUUUAGGGCGAUCAGUCAAAGAAUUACUAAGAAAUACUUCUUUGAAAUCGGGUUUUUCAUUCCAGGAAAUUGGCCGAAAAUCGUUGUCCAUUUUUCGGUUCUAUGCGGUAAGUGACGCAAUUUUGUCGUAGUUUAAAAAAUUAUCAUAUUUGUUAUAAAAAUUUAAUUUACCGGCAUAUUUCUUUCAUUUCAGCCAUCCUUUGAAGUUUUUACACCUCAAAAUCAUAAAACGGCGAAAUUGUGUCCCCGGCGAAUAUGUGCACUCCAC
rnacentral:lncRNA from 1 species